rnacentral:guide_RNA from 1 species
GUUUUAGAGCUAGAAAUAGCAAGUUAAAAUAAGGCUAGUCCGUUAUCAACUUGAAAAAGUGGCACCGAGUCGGUGCUUUUU